AAACUUUAGUCAUUUUAAUAAGAUGUAACAGGCUAUAAAAAAUUAAAACUUUCAACAACGGAUCUCUUGGUUCUGGCAUCGAUGAAGAACGCAGCGAAAUGCGAUAAGUAAUGUGAAUUGCAGAUUUUCGGGAAUCAUUG
rnacentral:rRNA from 1 species